rnacentral:rRNA from 1 species
AAAUUGAAGAGUUUGAUCAUGGCUCAGAUUGAACGCUGGCGGCAGGCCUAACACAUGCAAGUCGAGCGGUAGCACAGAGAGCUUGCUCUCGGGUGACGAGCGGCGGACGGGUGAGUAAUGUCUGGGAAACUGCCUGAUGGAGGGGGAUAACUACUGGAAACGGUAGCUAAUACCGCAUAACGUCGCAAGACCAAAGAGGGGGACCUUCGGGCCUCUUGCCAUCAGAUGUGCCCAGAUGGGAUUAGCUAGUAGGUGGGGUAACGGCUCACCUAGGCGACGAUCCCUAGCUGGUCUGAGAGGAUGACCAGCCACACUGGAACUGAGACACGGUCCAGACUCCUACGGGAGGCAGCAGUGGGGAAUAUUGCACAAUGGGCGCAAGCCUGAUGCAGCCAUGCCGCGUGUAUGAAGAAGGCCUUCGGGUUGUAAAGUACUUUCAGCGGGGAGGAAGGCGUUGAGGUUAAUAACCUCAGCGAUUGACGUUACCCGCAGAAGAAGCACCGGCUAACUCCGUGCCAGCAGCCGCGGUAAUACGGAGGGUGCAAGCGUUAAUCGGAAUUACUGGGCGUAAAGCGCACGCAGGCGGUCUGUCAAGUCGGAUGUGAAAUCCCCGGGCUCAACCUGGGAACUGCAUUCGAAACUGGCAGGCUAGAGUCUUGUAGAGGGGGGUGGAAUUCCAGGUGUAGCGGUGAAAUGCGUAGAGAUCUGGAGGAAUACCGGUGGCGAAGGCGGCCCCCUGGACAAAGACUGACGCUCAGGUGCGAAAGCGUGGGGAGCAAACAGGAUUAGAUACCCUGGUAGUCCACGCCGUAAACGAUGUCGACUUGGAGGUUGUGCCCUUGAGGCGUGGCUUCCGGAGCUAACGCGUUAAGUCGACCGCCUGGGGAGUACGGCCGCAAGGUUAAAACUCAAAUGAAUUGACGGGGGCCCGCACAAGCGGUGGAGCAUGUGGUUUAAUUCGAUGCAACGCGAAGAACCUUACCUACUCUUGACAUCCAGAGAACUUAGCAGAGAUGCUUUGGUGCCUUCGGGAACUCUGAGACAGGUGCUGCAUGGCUGUCGUCAGCUCGUGUUGUGAAAUGUUGGGUUAAGUCCCGCAACGAGCGCAACCCUUAUCCUUUGUUGCCAGCGGUUAGGCCGGGAACUCAAAGGAGACUGCCAGUGAUAAACUGGAGGAAGGUGGGGAUGACGUCAAGUCAUCAUGGCCCUUACGAGUAGGGCUACACACGUGCUACAAUGGCGCAUACAAAGAGAAGCGACCUCGCGAGAGCAAGCGGACCUCAUAAAGUGCGUCGUAGUCCGGAUUGGAGUCUGCAACUCGACUCCAUGAAGUCGGAAUCGCUAGUAAUCGUAGAUCAGAAUGCUACGGUGAAUACGUUCCCGGGCCUUGUACACACCGCCCGUCACACCAUGGGAGUGGGUUGCAAAAGAAGUAGGUAGCUUAACCUUCGGGAGGGCGCUUACCACUUUGUGAUUCAUGACUGGGGUGAAGUCGUAACAAGGUAACCGUAGGGGAACCUGCGGUUGGAUCACCUCCUUACCUUAAAGAA